UUCGCCCUUCGGGGUGCACCAGGCGCGAAAACUUUACAAUGCUGGCAACAGCGAUAAGGGGACCUUGAGUGCCAGGAUACAAUCCUGGCUGUCGUGAUGCCUAAAAAGCAUUAUAUAGCAAGGGCCGGGCAAGACCGGUGCCAGCCGCCGCGGUAACACCGGCGGCUCGAGUGGUAACCGCUAUUAUUGGGUCUAAAGGGUCUGUAGCCGGCUUGGUUAGUCUCUUGGGAAAUCCGGCAGCUUAACUGUCGGGCUUUCAGGAGAUACUGCCAGGCUCGAGACCGGGAGAGGUGAGAGGUACUUCAUGGGUAGGGGUGAAAUCUUGUAAUCCUUGAAGGACCACCAGUGGCGAAGGCGUCUCACCAGAACGGAUCUGACGGCAAGGGACGAAAGCUAGGGGCACGAACCGGAUUAGAUACCCGGGUAGUCCUAGCCGUAAACGAUACUCGCUAGGUGUCGGCCACGGUGCGACCGUGGUCGGUGCCGUAGGGAAGCCGUGAAGCGAGCCACCUGGGAAGUACGGCCGCAAGGCUGAAACUUAAAGGAAUUGGCGGGGGAGCAC
rnacentral:rRNA from 1 species